UGGGGAAUAUUGGACAAUGGGCGAAAGCCUGAUCCAGCCAUGCCGCGUGUGUGAAGAAGGUCUUCGGAUUGUAAAGCACUUUAAGUUGGGAGGAAGGGCAGUAAGCUAAUACCUUGCUGUUUUGACGUUACCGACAGAAUAAGCACCGGCUAACUCUGUGCCAGCAGCCGCGGUAAUACAGAGGGUGCAAGCGUUAAUCGGAAUUACUGGGCGUAAAGCGCGCGUAGGUGGUUUGUUAAGUUGGAUGUGAAAGCCCCGGGCUCAACCUGGGAACUGCAUCCAAAACUGGCAAGCUAGAGUACGGUAGAGGGUGGUGGAAUUUCCUGUGUAGCGGUGAAAUGCGUAGAUAUAGGAAGGAACACCAGUGGCGAAGGCGACCACCUGGACUGAUACUGACACUGAGGUGCGAAAGCGUGGGGGGCAAACAGGAUUAGAUACCCCCGUAGUCCCUGAGCGGGCUGGCAAGGCGCAU
rnacentral:rRNA from 1 species